rnacentral:rRNA from 1 species
GACGAACGCUGGCGGCGUGCCUAAUACAUGCAAGUCGAGCGGACCAAACAGGAGCUUGCUCUUGUUUGGUUAGCGGCGGACGGGUGAGUAACAUGUGGGUAACCUGCCCGUAAGACCGGGAUAACUCCGGGAAACCGGAGCUAAUACCGGAUAACACCGAAGACCGCAUGGUCUUUGGUUGAAAGGCGGCUUCGGCUGCCACUUACGGAUGGGCCCGCGGCGCAUUAGCUAGUGGGUGAGGUAACGGCUCACCAAGGCGACGAUGCGUAGCCGGCCUGAGAGGGUGACCGGCCACACUGGGACUGAGACACGGCCCAGACUCCUACGGGAGGCAGCAGUAGGGAAUCUUCCGCAAUGGACGAAAGUCUGACGGAGCGACGCCGCGUGAGCGAAGAAGGUCUUCGGAUCGUAAAGCUCUGUUGUUAGGGAAGAUGAAGCGCCGUUCGAACAGGGCGGCGCGGUGACGGUACCUAACGAGAAAGCCCCGGCUAACUACGUG